UACGUAGGGCGCAAGCGUUAUCCGGAAUUAUUGGGCGUAAAGAGCUCGUAGGCGGUUUGUCGCGUCUGCCGUGAAAGUCCGGGGCUCAACUCCGGAUCUGCGGUGGGUACGGGCAGGCUAGAGGUAGGUAGGGGAGAAUGGAAUUCCCGGUGUAGCGGUGAAAUGCGCAGAUAUCAGGAGGAACACCGGUGGCGAAGGCGGGUCUCUGGGCCGAUACUGACGCUGAGGAGCGAAAGCGUGGGGAGCGAACAGG
rnacentral:rRNA from 1 species